rnacentral:rRNA from 1 species
AAACACGGACCAAGGAGUCUAACAUGUGCGCGAGUCAUUGGGCUUUAAAACCCAUAGGCGCAAUGAAAGUGAAGGUCUCGCCUUGCGCGGACCGAGGGAAGAUGGAGCUCGCGUAAGCGUGUCUUCCGCAUUCCCGGGGCGUCUCGUUCUCAUUGCGAGUUGAGGCGCACCCAGAGCGUACACGUUGGGACCCGAAAGAUGGUGAACUAUGCCUGGCCAGGACGAAGUCAGGGGAAACCCUGAUGGAGGUCCGAAGCGAUUCUGACGUGCAAAUCGAUCGUCAGAGCUGGGUAUAGGGGCGAAAGACUAAUCGAACCAUCUAGUAGCUGGUUCCUCCGAAGUUUCCCUCAGGAUAGCUGGUGCUCUACCGAGUCUCAUCCGGUAAAGCGAAUGAUUAGAGGCCUUGGGGCCGAAACGACCUCAACCUAUUCUCAAACUUUAAAUGGGUGAGAUCUCCGGCUUGCUUGACUUGCUUUGAAGCCGCGAGAAUCGGAUGGAUCGGAGUGCCAAGUGGGCCACUUUUGGUAAGCAGAA